GCCGCCCUGCGGCGCGCCCGCCGCCGCGGCCUCCUCGAGGUGCGUCCCCGACUGUCCCCAACAUCUGCCACCCGUCCCCGCGGGGUCCCCGAGACGUUCUCCAUCCCCUUGGUGUCCCCAAGACGUUCUCCAUCCCCGUGGCGUCCUCGAGAUGUUCUCCAUCCCCGUGGCGUCCCUGAGAUGUUCUCUAUCCCCACGGUGUCCCCGAGGUGCUGUCUGUCACCCGUGUGUCUCCAGGGCGUCCCUGCAGUGUCCCCCAUGGUGACCUGAGGUGUCCCCCCAGGUGUUCUCCAUCCCUGAGGUGUCCCCAAGAUGUUCUCCAUCCCCGUAGGGCCCCAAGAGGUUCUCCAUCCCCACGGUGUCCCCGAGGUCACCCAUCCCCAGUGCCUCUCCAUGGAGUCCCCAUGGUGUCCCUAAGGCGUUCUCCAUCCCCGAGGUGUCUGUGGGGUGUCCCCAAGGUGUCACCCAUCCCCAGUGCCUCUCCACGGAGUCCCCAUGGUGCCCCCAAGGCGUUCUCUAUCCCCGAGGUGUCACCCAUCCCCAGUGCCUCU
rnacentral:lncRNA from 1 species